rnacentral:rRNA from 1 species
AAUGAACGCUGGCGGCAGGCCUAACACAUGCAAGUCGAACGGAUCCUUCGGGAUUAGUGGCGGACGGGUGAGUAACGCGUGGGAACAUACCCUUUGGUACGGAAUAGCCUCGGGAAACUGGGAGUAAUACCGUAUGUGGUCGAGAGACGAAAGAUUUAUCGCCAAAGGAUUGGCCCGCGUUGGAUUAGGUAGUUGGUGGGGUAAUGGCCUACCAAGCCGACGAUCCAUAGCUGGUUUGAGAGGAUGAUCAGCCACACUGGGACCGAGACACGGCCCAGACUCCUACGGGAGGCAGCAGCGGGGAAUCUUAGACAAUGGGGGAAACCCUGAUCUAGCCAUGCCGCGUGAUCGAUGAAGGCCUUAGGGUUGUAAAGAUCUUUCAGGUGGGAAGAUAAUGACUGUACCACCAGAAGAAGCCCCGGCUAACUCCGUGCCAGCAGCCGCAGUAA